UCCACUACCUUUUCAUCCGUAACGGAUGAAGUCAAUAGACAAUAGUAAUCAAAUGGAUAAAAGAUACCCAUUAACAACACCACUAUUUUUGCUUACCAUCACUUAAUGUUCGACUACAUAAACCUCCAAAUGUUAUCUUGCACAGGUUUUCACAGCUUCCGGAUCUCAUUUCUAUCCAUCAAGAUUCAUUCAUACUCAAAGUUUCUCAUUCCAUCACUACCCUAUUACCUAGCCAAAAAGAAAAUAAUUGUGAUUUCUGAUUCUUUACCUUCCCGUCUCUAGCUAAUUCUCUCAACAACAACGGAAGAAAUCAGCUUUUCUUAGUCAGACGUUACUCUUCAUGAAUCCAAAUCCGAUAGUUGACCAACCAUCAUGGCAAAUUGGUCUUUUUAGGUAUGUGGUUUUUGUGAUGGUUUAAUGGGCCGUUAUGAUGCUUCAAGGAUGGCCGGUUAUGUCUCUCUACAUUAUUCGCACCAGCAUUUAGGUAUUCGGAAGGCAGUUGAUGCUUAAGAGAGGACGGUAACAAAGACAAUGAAAAAUGCGCAGCUCAUCUUAUAUUUAACCACCAAUGACCCUGGAAACUUUUUUCGUUCCUUCCAACCAAGUUGCACUGAUUCCUUACAUUUUCCUUUAGUAUCUAGAAUGUCGAUAGAUCGUGUGAGAUAUUAAUUUGCUUGGGAAAAAGUCGCUUUUUAUAAGCUGUGCAACUCAAAACAUGCAGGAAUCAUUAGGUAAUUGCAGAAACUUAUCAACGGCUUUCUACUACUUCACUUGAAACACGUCAAACAGAGACGCCGUGAUGCGAUAGUUGGAUGACAAGAAACUCUCUUUUCUAUCAUGGAAUUCUUCCUUCAAUAAAAACUUCAAGUAUAGCCAAGAGGUACUUCCAGAUCAAGCUGAUACGAAUAGUUUCUUAUUUCUGUUAACAAUUGGAUCUACUUAAUAUCUACCUCCUCUUGAAAUCUAAGAAUUGUUUGCGUAAUAGUUUUUUUUUUAAUUGCAUCUAAACACUGUUUAUUCAUGAACAUUUUUUCAUUCAAAGAAAAUGAGGUGAUCAUUUUGUGUUUUGACUAUGUAUCAAGCAAGGAUUCAUACUGAAUUUUUGCAUCUAUGAUAUUUUUAGUUACACCUGUUGUAAUUUAAGUCGUCGUUCUAUACCUGUUACCUGUUUGAAAUGAAAACUCUCACCUCUAAUGUCAAAAUCUGGCUAUUGUUUCUAUUCUUUUUACUGUUACCAAGUGUGUCGUGUAGCUCAGGAUUUUUGGUAGUAUUGUAUGGAGAAGAAUACAAUAUAAGUUUAGAAGUGAUGAUAGGUUAUUGUCCAUCAGUGAGUGGUUGGGAAGAUAAGCCAUGAAGAUGAAUAUUUUUUGGGGAGCUGUGGGUACAAACCAUAGUUUCUAUGAAGAACUUAAUGGUUUUGAGCGUUGAUCAGACCUUCAAUACUGCUGGACGAUGUAAACUUCCACCAUGGAUUUGGAACACGAUUGACAUUUUUGUGGGCACUUUCAAACUGUCUGAAGAACCACUUACUUUAGUCGACAAUUGCAAGAAGCUGUGCAAAUUGUGAGUCGUUUAUGCUCCUCCACCACGUCCUCCAGCGAUUCACGAAUGAUCCAAGGAAGGUACAUCCGUUUAGAGCAUCAAGUUCAUACACUGGGAAAUCCAAAUUUUCUGACAUUACUGAUUUUUCAGGGUUCGAAAACAAGUGUGAAUCCUCAAGAUAGAUCAUCAGACGUGGUCUUUUUUUCUUUUCCGGGUCAUGCAUGUACCUCCAAAUGGAGCAAUACUUG